rnacentral:ncRNA from 2 species
GGCCGUCUUCGGGGUCGGGUGAAAUUCCCAACCGGCGGUGAUGAGGCAAAGUGCCUCUUAGUCCGUGACCCGGCUGUGCAUUCGCAUAGACGGUGGAUCUGGUGCAACUCCAGAGCCGACAGUAUAGUCUGGAUGGGAGAAGGAAUGU